rnacentral:rRNA from 1 species
AGAGUUUGAUCCUGGCUCAGAUUGAACGCUGGCGGCAUGCCUUACACAUGCAAGUCGAACGGCAGCACGGGAGCUUGCUCCUGGUGGCGAGUGGCGAACGGGUGAGUAAUAUAUCGGAACGUGCCCUAGAGUGGGGGAUAACUAGUCGAAAGAUUAGCUAAUACCGCAUACGAUCUACGGAUGAAAGUGGGGGAUCGCAAGACCUCAUGCUCAUGGAGCGGCCGAUAUCUGAUUAGCUAGUUGGUGGGGUAAAAGCUCACCAAGGCGACGAUCAGUAGCUGGUCUGAGAGGACGACCAGCCACACUGGAACUGAGACACGGUCCAGACUCCUACGGGAGGCAGCAGUGGGGAAUUUUGGACAAUGGGCGCAAGCCUGAUCCAGCAAUGCCGCGUGAGUGAAGAAGGCCUUCGGGUUGUAAAGCUCUUUUGUCAGGGAAGAAACGGUCUUGGUUAAUACCUGGGGCUAAUGACGGUACCUGAAGAAUAAGCACCGGCUAACUACGUGCCAGCAGCCGCGGUAAUACGUAGGGUGCAAGCGUUAAUCGGAAUUACUGGGCGUAAAGCGUGCGCAGGCGGUUAUACAAGACAGAUGUGAAAUCCCCGGGCUCAACCUGGGAAUUGCAUUUGUGACUGUAUGGCUAGAGUGUGUCAGAGGGGGGUAGAAUUCCACGUGUAGCAGUGAAAUGCGUAGAUAUGUGGAGGAAUACCGAUGGCGAAGGCAGCCCCCUGGGAUAACACUGACGCUCAUGCACGAAAGCGUGGGGAGCAAACAGGAUUAGAUACCCUGGUAGUCCACGCCCUAAACGAUGUCUACUAGUUGUCGGGUCUUAAUUGACUUGGUAACGCAGCUAACGCGUGAAGUAGACCGCCUGGGGAGUACGGUCGCAAGAUUAAAACUCAAAGGAAUUGACGGGGACCCGCACAAGCGGUGGAUGAUGUGGAUUAAUUCGAUGCAACGCGAAAAACCUUACCUACCCUUGACAUGUACGGAAUCCUGAAGAGAUUUAGGAGUGCUCGAAAGAGAACCGUAACACAGGUGCUGCAUGGCUGUCGUCAGCUCGUGUCGUGAGAUGUUGGGUUAAGUCCCGCAACGAGCGCAACCCUUGUCAUUAGUUGCUACGAAAGGGCACUCUAAUGAGACUGCCGGUGACAAACCGGAGGAAGGUGGGGAUGACGUCAAGUCCUCAUGGCCCUUAUGGGUAGGGCUUCACACGUCAUACAAUGGUACAUACAGAGGGCCGCCAACCCGCGAGGGGGAGCUAAUCCCAGAAAGUGUAUCGUAGUCCGGAUUGGAGUCUGCAACUCGACUCCAUGAAGUUGGAAUCGCUAGUAAUCGCGGAUCAGCAUGUCGCGGUGAAUACGUUCCCGGGUCUUGUACACACCGCCCGUCACACCAUGGGAGCGGGUUCUGCCAGAAGUAGUUAGCCUAACCGCAAGGAGGGCGAUUACCACGGCAGGGUUCGUGACUGGGGUGAAGUCGUAACAAGGUAACC